GAAACCUUUUAUUUGUCUAUCAGUGUUUUAUCCAUCAAAACUCGAGGUUGUUUUCAGGUGGUUAAAUGCGGCAAAAUCAUUAUGGAUAUGCGAGAAGUCGCGUUCUAUGUAAGUAAAGUUUAAAUAGGAUGAUUGAUUGACCGGAAAAAAACAAGACAACACCCUCGGCCACAUCUCUUAUCAGCCAAAGGAAUGGAUAAGAUCAGAUCACAUGCCUAUAAUUGCUUAUACAUAGCUGGUGUCCAGGAUCAGGCUGUCAGUUGGAUGCUUGCAUUAUAGCAUUUUGGAGCUUUUCUCUCUUCAGGCUUCAAUUUCACAAUAGAUUUCUGCAUUAUGAUGCUUACACAAUCUCAAAAGUAAUGCAAUCAUGCAAAUACAGACUACCUGCAGUGUCUACUCAACCAUCAUCAGCAUCUCG